rnacentral:rRNA from 1 species
AGCGAACGCUGGCGGCAGGCCUAACACAUGCAAGUCGAACGGACCCUUCGGGGUUAGUGGCGGACGGGUGAGUAACACGUGGGAACGUGCCUUUAGGUUCGGAAUAGCUCCUGGAAACGGGUGGUAAUGCCGAAUGUGCCCUUCGGGGGAAAGAUUUAUCGCCUUUAGAGCGGCCCGCGUCUGAUUAGCUAGUUGGUGAGGUAACGGCUCACCAAGGCGACGAUCAGUAGCUGGUCUGAGAGGAUGACCAGCCACACUGGGACUGAGACACGGCCCAGACUCCUACGGGAGGCAGCAGUGGGGAAUCUUGCGCAAUGGGCGAAAGCCUGACGCAGCCAUGCCGCGUGAAUGAUGAAGGUCUUAGGAUUGUAAAAUUCUUUCACCGGGGACGAUAAUGACGGUACCCGGAGAAGAAGCCCCGGCUAACUUUGUG